AUUGAACGCUGGCGGCAGGCCUAACACAUGCAAGUCGAGCGGAUGACUGGAGCUUGCUCCUGGAUUCAGCGGCGGACGGGUGAGUACUGCCUAGGAAUCUGCCUGGCAGUGGGGGAUAACGUCCGGAAACGGGCGCUAAUACCGCAUACGUCCUGAGGGAGAAAGUGGGGGAUCUUCGGACCUCACGCUAUCAGAUGAGCCUAGGUCGGAUUAGCGAGUUGGUGGGGUUAAGGCCUACCAAGGCGAAGAUCCGUAACUGGUCUGAGGGGAUGAUCAGUCAGACUGGAACUGGGACACGGUCCAGACGGGUACGGGAGGCAGCAGUGAGGAAUAUGGGACGAUGGGCGAAAGCCUGUUCCAGCCAUGCCGCGUGUGUGAAGAAGGUCUUCGGAUUGUAAAGCACUUGAAGUUGGGAGGAAGGGCAGUAAGUGAAUACCUUGCUGUUUUGACGUUACCAACAGAAUAAGCACCGGCUAACUUCGUG
rnacentral:rRNA from 1 species